rnacentral:rRNA from 1 species
UACGGGGGGAGCAAGCGUUGUUCGGAAUCACUGGGCGUAAAGGGCGCGUAGGCGGCCAAGUAAGUGGGAUGUGAAAGCCCCCGGCUUACCCGGGGAUCUGCAUCCCAAACUGCUUGGCUUGAGUACGGGAGAGGAUAGGGGAAUUCCUGGUGUAGCGGUGAAAUGCGUAGAUAUCAGGAGGAACACCGGUGGCGAAGGCGCCUAUCUGGCCCGAUACUGACGCUGAGGCGCGAAAGCUAGGGGAGCAAACGGG